GGGGAAAAUGGCGGAAGGGAAGGCGGGAGAGGAGAAGCCUGAGAAGCCACAGCGAGCUGGAGCCGCUGGAGGACCUGAAGAAGAAGCAGAAAAACCUGUGAAAACUAAGACUGUUUCUUCCAGUAAUGGAGGGGAAAAUUCCAGUCGCAGCGCUGAGAAGCGAUCAGCUGAAGAUGAAACUGCAGACCUCCCAACAAAGCCUACAAAGAUCUCCAAGUUUGGAUUUGCCACAGGUAGUCAGACGACAAAGAAAGCCUCAGCCAUAUCCAUCAAACUUGGCUCAAGUAAGCCUAAAGAACCGGUUCCAACUCUUGCUCCAAAAACCCUUUCAGUAGCAGCAGCUUUUAAUGAAGAUGAAGAGAGUGAACCAGAGGAAAUGCCUCCAGAAGCAAAGAUGAGGAUGAAGAAUAUUGGAAGGGAUACACCAACAUCAGCAGGACCAAAUUCCUUCAAUAAAGGAAAGCAUGGGUUUUCUGAUAACCAGAAGCUAUGGGAGCGAAAUAUAAAAUGUCAUCUUGGAAAUGUCCAUGACCAAGACAAUUAAAUGAUGUGUUUUGAAACUGGGGUGUGGGGUGGGUGUAAAGUUAAAAGGAACAGUUUCCUUUUUUAAGGAAUGGUAUAAGACUAUCUUUGGAGCCGCCUUUUUUUUCUUUUUCUUUUUUUAAAUAUUGAGUGGUACACUAAUAAAUGAGAAUUUGAAA